GCGGUGGAAUGCGCAGAUAUCAGGAGGAACACCGAUGGCGAAGGCAGGUCUCUGGGCUGUUACUGACGCUGAGGAGCGAAAGCAUGGGGAGCGAACAGGAUUAGAUACCCUGGUAGUCCAUGCCGUAAACGUUGGGCACUAGGUGUGGGGGACAUUCCACGUUUUCCGCGCCGUAGCUAACGCAUUAAGUGCCCCGCCUGGGGAGUACGGCCGCAAGGCUAAAACUCAAAGGAAUUGACGGGGGCCCGCACAAGCGGCGGAGCAUGCGGAUUAAUUCGAUGCAACGCGAAGAACCUUACCAAGGCUUGACAUAUACCGGAUCGUUCCAGAGAUGGUUCUUCCCCUUUGGGGUCGGUAUACAGGUGGUGCAUGGUUGUCGUCAGCUCGUGUCGUGAGAUGUUGGGUUAAGUCCCGCAACGAGCGCAACCCUCGUUCCAUGUUGCCAGCACGUGAUGGUGGGGACUCAUGGGAGACUGCCGGGGUCAACUCGGAGGAAGGUGGGGAUGACGUCAAAUCAUCAUGCCCCUUAUGUCUUGGGCUUCACGCAUGCUACAAUGGCCGGUACAAAGGGUUGCGAUACUGUGAGGUGGAGCUAAUCCCAAAAAGCCGGUCUCAGUUCGGAUUGAGGUCUGCAACUCGACCUCAUGAAGUCGGAGUCGCUAGUAAUCGCAGAUCAGCAACGCUGCGGUGAAUACGUUCCCGGGCCUUGUACACACCGCCCGUCAAGUCACGAAAGUCGGUAACACCCGAAGCCGGUGGCCCAACCCUUGUGGAGGGAGCCGUCGAAGGUGGGACUGGCGAUUGGGACUAAGUCGUAACAAGGUAGCCGUACCGGAA
rnacentral:rRNA from 1 species